AGCUAAAAGUCCUGAUGAUCCAGAUGUUAUCUACUCUGAUGUGAGGACUCGCACUUCAGGCCCUGAUGAUGUUCUUUACGGUGAGGUGAUCUUCAGAAGGUAGAGGAAAGCUGGUGAGACAACAGAGUGGUCAGCUGAUCCAGGUGUUGUGCAUUGAUUGAGAGCAGGAAGCUGAGGACACACUCGGUCUCAUGGACGAACUUCAUCCUUCACUCUGCUCCUCUUCUUCUAUUUGUGUCUC